GAUAUGGAAGGAUUUACUCCGGCAGUUUCCAAAUUAAUAUUUAGUUUGAAAGUUUUGAAAUUUAACAUAUAAUCUUGGAAAAUACUGGAUCCUAUGUCUAAUAAUAUAGUUUUUUCUUUCAUCCAAGGAUUUCAGUUCACUUCUCAAUUGUAGUUGUUGGAAUCUGUUCUAAAGUUGCACAUUUGCAACAAGUUGCGUGCGCUUUGCAGUAUUAAGCAGCUAGAGAUUAGUGGUAAAAACUUAAGGUUUAUACUUUUUAGUUUUUCCUUUUUGGUCAACAGGGUCUAUACUUUUAGUUUAGCAGUUUUUAGAUUUAGUUACUUUUGAAGCAGUUCUCCUGGAUUCAACUGAGACACAAUGCCAGAAUGAGCUGUCAGCAUAGCCUACAGAGAUCUAGGUUUUUAACAUUUUCAUUUGGUUGGACUUUGUGAGGAGUUAAAUAGUUUUAGUACUUUAAUGUAGGUUGGGAAACUAUUUCCUCAAGCACCUAAGGUUGGUACUGCUUCUGCCAUGUAGAGUGUAGUAAGAUAGAAUUUAACCUACUUAUGCUACGAAGAUCAUGUUUUUUUUAUGUGGCUGGGUUUUAGUGAUUUAUAUUGAGAGUGCCAGAAGACUGGGUUAUGGUAGUUUAAUAAUUCUCCUUUCGUUCUAUUUUUCUCUUUGGGUAAGUGUUUUUUUUCUGUUGGUUUAGGUGUUUCAUGGACUACUGGUCCGUGCUUAUCUCAUUCCUUGUGUUAUCUCCGAAUAAUUAUUCUGUUUCUUAUGAACAAAAAACAAGAAGACUGCAGAGCUCAUUGUGGCAUUUAUUUGUUAUGGGGUUAGGAUCCCAAGACACCCAUUUUUUGACACAUUUUGCCACCUAUUUUGUAGAGACCACUUUGUAAUGUAUUUCAACGUUCCAUACCUUCUGUAUUUCAACGAUCCAUACCUUCUGUAUUUCAAGUUAUCAUUCAUAGAUAAUCCUUGCUAAAAAUUAGACAAAUCCAAAACCAUUAAUACAUUCAUUUGUAAUGAAGAAAAUGAAUGAAUGUGGUACUGUGAAGAAACAUUAAAAUGACCAUCAUUUAAGCCAAUGGUCAUUAGGUUUUAGAUUUGGGUGAUUUUUUGUAGACAUGAUCUUUGAGGGAAGAUCUAAAAGAUGGUUCGGGUAUUUGAAAUACCUUGCAAAGUGGGCCCUACAAAAUGGGUGUAAAAAAGUGUCCUUCGAUCCUGGCCUAUAUUUAUGAUUUCUCACCACUCUUGAAAUUAGUUUUACCAUAUAAAUAAUUUUUUUUUUGUCUUGAAAAACAUUAGUAUGAUAUCUAGAUAAGCUGCAAGUUUGGGAUAGAAUAAUUCAUGUGCGAAUCAUCUAGUUUUGACAUUAUUGGUUGGGGAGUGUGUCCGUUGAGUUCUUGUGGAACUGCUAGUUCUAACUUCUAAGUUCAUUUGUUGUGGUCUUGAUGGAGACGAUGAGCAUGAUACAUUUGAUGUUUUUGAAGGCUUUCUUGAUAUAGAAAAAAUAAACACUUCUGUCUACUGCGAAUGGGAGCGUGAUACUGAUUGAAUGAAGCAUAAGUAUUGUCUUAAUCAGCAGUGUUCCACUAAUGUUGCAGGUU
rnacentral:lncRNA from 1 species